rnacentral:miRNA from 5 species
CAGGGCUGGCAGUGAGAUGGG